ensembl:lncRNA
GUGGCAAAAGAUAACAUAAAAUCUUUGUUGUGAAUUAGUCAGUAGGGUCUGACACAUGCUAACAAGGUUCCUGACUAGUGCCUCAGUAUUUCAGCACCUUAAGCAUGAUAAGGGCUUCCCUGGUGGCUCAGACAGUAAAGCAUCUGCCUGCAAUACAGGAGACCUGGGUUCAAUCCCUGGGUCGGGAAGAUCCCCUGGAGAAGGAAAUGGCAACCCACUCCAGUACUCUUGCCUGGAAAAUUCCAUGGACAGAGAAGCCUGGUAGGCUACAGUCCAUGGGAUCACAAAGAGUCAGACAUGACUGAGCAACUCCACUUCAAGCAUGAUAAAAUUCAGUCAACAAUAAAGUGAGUGUUUCAACUAGAAAAAAGAAUUUAAUAGUGGGAAAUCUUUACAUUUGGCCUUUAAAAGUUACUGUUAACUGAGGACCUAUUAGGUACCAAGCAUAGGACUAGGUUUCUCAGGUGAUGCUAGUGGUAAAGAACAUGUCUGCCAACGUAGGAGACAUAAGAGACGCGGGUUCAGUCCUUGGGUUGGGAAGAUCCCCUGGAGGAGGGCAUGGCAACCCACUCCAGUGUUCUUCCCUAGUGAAUCCUAUGGACAGAGAAUCCUGGUGGGCUACAGUCCAUGGGGUUGCAGAGUCAGACACUACUAAAGUGACUUAAUACAGUACUGAGAGUUAACUUUGGCAGGUUGAUAAGGAGUCCAAGCCUAAGGCCCCUUUAUGGAGGAGGUAAGCAUUCUUUUUCACAUUCUUUUGCUAUAGACAAAUAGGCCUUGUAGGCAGCAGUAUUUCUUGUUCAAGGACAUGCCUCUUUUUGAGCUUUGGAUGUAUUUUAUGGGGGAAAGUCUGGGUAAAAACUUCCACAGCCUUGGGCUCUGGAUUAACCUGUUCCUUCUGACUAAUCUAGUGCUGAUGUCAUCCCAGGAUGUAUGUUACAGGAAAGGGUCAGCAAAGUUCUCACAGCCUUAAGGUAUUUUUUGUCUAUUCUCAGAUGUAUAUAAGGCCCUACUUAAAUUAGUGAGGUGCGUACUCUUCUGCCCCCUUCUGAUAUCUAUGUCAGAAGCUUUUUCUGUCACUUUCACUUUAAAUAAAAUCUACACAAAGCUCUGAGUGACUGAGACUGUCUUUGGUCCCAGAGUUAAAUCUCCUUCGGAGACCAUGAAUCCAGCGGCACUGUUCACUGUUUACCAAUAAGCUAUCAUCUUUGGUGCUCGUCCAGGAUCUUCAAGACAAGAUAUAAAGAAGCUCUUCUUCUCAAGUUACUGAUGGUUUAAAGCAAUUUAAUGAUUUACAUCUAUGGGUAAAAUUAAAACAUUUUUCUUCUCUCUCUGCCUCGUCCCUCCGAAAUUGGAGACACUUGGGUUCUGGACAGCCUUAUCAAGACACAAACACAUUGCUGCUAUGCUGCUGCUGCUGCUAAGUCGCUUCAGUCCUGUCCAACUCUGUGUGACCCCAUAGAUGGCAGCCCACCAGGCUCCCCUGUCCCUGGGAUUCUCCAGGCAAGAACACUGGAGUGGGUUGCCAUUUCCUUAUCCAAUGCGUGAAAGUGAAGUCGCUCAGAACGCCCUGCUGCUGCUGCUGCUAAGUUGCUUCAGUCGUGUCUGACUCUGUGCGACCCCAUAGAUGGCAGCUCACCAGGCUUCCCCGUCCGUGGAAUUCUCCAGGCAAGAACACUGGAGUGGGUUGCCAUUUCCUUCUCCAAUGCAUGAAAGUGAAAAGUGAAAGUGAAGUUGCUCAAUCGUGUCCCACUCUUAGCAACCCCAUGGACUGCAGCCUACCAGGCUCCCCCAUCCCUGGGGUUCUCCAGGCAAGAACACUGGAGUGGGUUGCCAUUUCCUUCUCCAAUGCAUGAAAGUGAAAAGUGAAAGUGAAGUCGCUCAGUCGUGUCUGACUCUGGCGACCUCAUGGACUGCAGCCUCCCAGGCUCCUCCGUCCGUAGGAUUUUCCAGGCAAAAGUACUGGAGUGGGGUGCCAUUGCCUUCUCCGAGGAACACCCUUCAAGAUAUUUAUUCUUCUGUACUAUCUCUCCCACUACUUCACCAUUUUCUUCUUAGAAUGUCUCUUAAUGUCAUUUCUGAGUUUCUAUUUUCAGCUACCUUCUCACUAUUCUCCCUGGUCAGUUUCAUCCUAUCACAUGGCCUCAACUCUUACCUUUAUACAGAUGACUCCCAAAUCUACCUCUGUGUGAACUUUACUGAGCAGAGUCAGAGUUCAAAUGGUCUACUGGGCAAGUCUAUAUAAUAUUCUCCCAGAAAAAUCAUGACUCAAUAUGUUCAAAUGUGAAGUCUUACUCACACUCCUUCAUUGUUUCCUAUAUCUCCUCAUCCUCUAGCUUGAUUUCUCUAUCUCUAGAUAGUGUCACUACCAUCCUCACAUCACUCAGGCCAAAAAGUUCAUCACCUAAAACUCUCCAUAUGCCCAGUAAUUCUGCAAUGUCUCAUAUCUGUCCCUUCUCUCUAUCUUCAUAGUCCCUCCUCCUUCUGCUUCUUUUUUUUCCUCUUUUCCUCUUUCUUUGUUCUUGCUAUCAAAGUGUGACCAGUAGUCCAGCAACAUCAGCAUCAUUUGGGGAGACUAUUAGAAUGCAGAAUAUUGGGCCCCAUCUAAAGAUCUAUUCAAUCAGAAUCUGCAUUUUAACAAAAUCCGUGCUGCUGCUGCUAAGUCACUUCAGUCGUGUCCAACUCUGUGUGACCCCAUAGACGGCAGCCACCAGGCUCCCCCAUCCCUGGGAUUCUCCAGGCAAGAACACUGGAGUGGGUUGCCAUUUCCUUCUCCAAUGCAUGAAAGUGAAAAGUGAAAGUGAAGUCGCUCAGUCGUGUCCAACUCUUCGCGACCCCAUGGACUGCAGCCUACCAGGCUCCUCCAUCCAUGGGAUUUUCCAGGCAAGAGUACUGGAGUGGGGUUCCAUUGCCUUCUCCAAACAAAAUCCCUAGAUAAUUCAUAUGCACAUUAAAGUACAGUUAGCAACUCCCUAGUUAAGUCUCAAUCAGGAUAGGUAUAAGUCCUCACCAGUGUAUAACCUAUGCACCAUGUUAGUGGCACUCAAGCCCAGCUGCACAUCAGAAUACCUGAGAAGUCUUCAAUUUUCCAUUUAUCUUUUUAUUAUUUAAUCUUUUUAAAAAUAAUACAUUUAUUAGUUGUUUCUUCAAUAGAGAAAUACAAAGAAGGAAAUUACAGUUGAAUUAUGCCUUGCCCAGAUAAUGCCAAAUGACUUUUCUUUUUUGACAAAAGGAAAAUUUACCUAAGGUUAGGCAACUCAAACAGAAUAAAAUAUACAAAAUGAAGAACUGCUAGCACCACCUCAAUUCCAACUCUUUUUCUCAAAUAUUGCUGUUCUUAAUCAGAAUUAACAUCCUAGGAAAUAAUUAACCACAUACCUGCAUAUAUGUUUAUUCUUUUGUUUAAAAAGUAUAAAUUACUCCCUUUUAAUCAUCAUGAUUUUUAUAUUUAAUAUAUCUUAUUUUUCUACAAGCAUAUACAGAGCAUUUCAUAAUUGUUAAACCACAUGGUAUUCCAUUAGAUAGAUGAUUCCAUCUGAUGGAUCAAUUCCCUAUUGACAAGUACUUUGACUGCUUCCAGUUUUAGCUAUUACAAACAAUGCUGCAGUUACCAUGCAUCAGCAUAUGUGUGUGUGUGUGUGUGCACACACGCGCCCGCGCUGUGUUUAGUCGUGUCCAACUCUUAGUGACUCUAUGGACCGUAGCCUGCCAGGCUCCUCUGCCCAUGGGAUUUUUCAGGCAAGAAUACUGGAGUGGGUAGACAUUUCCUUCUCCAGGGGAUCUUCCCGACCCAGAGAUUGAACCUGCAUCUCUUGCAUUGCAGGCGGCUUCUUUACCUCUGAGCCACAAGGGUAGUCUAUCCAUCAGCAUAUAUUUUGAUAAAGUUCUGCAAGUAUAUCCAUAGGGUAAAUUUUUAGUCCAAAAUUGCUGAAUAUAUUGGUUAGGGUGAUUUUGGUUACAAGUAACGAAACACAAUUCCAGGGGUAGGGUGAGCUAGAGCUACCCAGUUUCUUUAAGUGUCUCUACUGUGCAGUCCCUACUUUAUCCAAGUAGUUUUUUUCAGUGUGAUCCCUGGACCAGCAGCAUCAAUCUCACCUGAGAAUUUCUUAGAAAAGGAAAUCCUUUGUCCCUACCACAGAUCUGCAGAAUUUGAAACUCUGAAAGUAGAUAAAGAUCAGCAAUCUAUGUUUUAACAGAUUAGGUGAUUCUGAUGAACACUAAAGACUGAGAACCAGUGCUUUAAGCCAAGGUGCCAAUGAAAUCGCUGACAGUGGCAAUGGAAGCUUUGAAUCUCUUCAUCAAGUCCAGCAGAGAAGAGAAAACUCUGACCCAACAUUCCAAGUAAGUAGGACUCCCAUGGUUCUCCCUCACUGACUUGCUUAGGUCACAAGUCCUCUGAACUAAUGUUGUUUGUGGUCAGAAGAACUGAGAAUAAAAUCUGUUUACCCGCAAAUACGUGGGCUAUGAGUGGGAAGAAUAGACACAUAAAUAAAAAUCUACAACUUCUUGGGAAGGAAAAAAAUGGGGAAUGAUUACUGAGAAGGCACGAGCAACACCUACAACAUUCAAAGAAUAUCUGCAUGUUUUAUUUUGAUAUAUUCUACCAAAUUAUACAUCAAAAAAGUUGUAACAACGUCAAGCCCACCAGCAGCAUAUGAAAACAUCUAGGAUUUCUUCAUACCCUGACUUACUCUGUUUAAAUCAUACUUUAAACAUUUCCCAGUCUUAUAGAUAAAGAUGGCAUUUUAUUGUUUUGAUUUAUAUGCCUUUACUCAUGGAUGAAAUUAAACAUCUUUUCAAAUCUCUAUUGAUGUGUGCAUGUCUUUCUCUGUAGAUUACUUGCUUAUUCUUUAGCUCACUUUACUAUUGGGUUUUGUCUUUUUCAUGUUAGUUCUUCUGAAUUUGUUGUAAAUUAAAUUAGCCUUUUAUCAUAUAUGAUGCAAAUAUGUUUUCCCAGCUUUGUUGACCUUUUGAAUUUGUUUAUGGUAUUCUCCCCCACCCUCCCGCCACCAAAGCUUUAACUUUUAUGCAGUGAAAUUCAUCAGUAUUUUUCUUUACUGGAAUCUGUAUUUGGGAUUUUGCUUUAAAAGGGCCUUCCCCCAUGUCCACCUUUCCAGGUGAACAUCAGUCAAGUCUGUAAAGCUUUUAAAAAUUAAGGAUGCUGGGCCUCCA